CCCCAGGUCAGGCGGGAUCACCCGCUGAGUUUAAGCAUAUCAAUAAG
rnacentral:rRNA from 1 species